AAAUCAUCCAAAAAUGGCUGUAAAAUUCAAAAUGGCCGACUUCCUGUUGAGUUUAGAGUACGGGUUCUUGAGGCUUUUUUGUGCGUCUUGGUAUGAUACAUGUCCCCAGAAAAUUUCGUGCAUGUUGGUUGAACGUGAAUGAGGGGCUAACUUUUUCCAAUUUUUUAUGUGGUGCUAGCGAGUCAUUUUGCCACGCCCAUGCGCGAAACCCAUAAAAUACGAAAUUUUUCACCAGUUCUGACAUGUGUGCAAAUUUGGUGAGUUUUCCAGUAUGCUCAGGUCCCCAAAAUGGAGCUUACUUUGCAGAAAA